CUAUCCUAAACAGCUUGUUUAGCUCUCCUGCUUAGCACUGUAGCCACACCAAGCUAAAUGCACGUCGCCCUUUCCUGGUUCUGCAGCCCAGACCUAGGUGCCACUGAUAUUUGUAGAGGAAGCCAGCUGUAAAUUCCAGGAUUUGCCACAUCCAUCAGAAUAACUUCUCACGAUUGCUCCUUAGUUGACUCCAGAUCCAAUAUUAAUGUUUGCCUCAUCUUCUGCAGUAAUGCUGGCCACGAGAAAAGCUGCAUUCCCCCCAGGAAGACAUGUGGGUGCUUCUGCUGACUCAGUCCUAGCCAGAGUCCCCUGAAAGCGCUGGGGCCACCUGAUUCUUGGAGAGCCUGGAAGUAAUUUUCAGCCUACUAUGUUUCAUUUUGAAGUGUAGUCAAAAGGCACAGCCAGAUGGAGUGGUGUGUUGUC